GCGCUCGCUUCAGCAGCACAUAUACUAAAACUGGAAUGAUACAGAGAUCAGCAUGGCCCCUGCACAAGGAUGACACACAAAUUCGUGAAGCAUUCCGUAUUUUU